rnacentral:ncRNA from 1 species
UUUAACUUGGGAGUCAGAACAUGGGUGAUAAGGUCCGUGUUCGAAAGGGAAACAGCCCAGACCACCAGCUAAGGUCCCAAAGUAUACGUUAAGUGGAAAAGGAUGUGGAGUUGCUUAGACAACCAGGAUGUUGGCUUAGAAGAAGCCACCAUUUAAAGAGUGCGUAAUAGCUCACUGGUCGAGUGACUCUGCGCCGAAAAUGUACCGGGGCUAAACGUAUCACCGAAGC